UACGUAGGGUGCGAGCGUUAAUCGGAAUUACUGGGCGUAAAGCGUGCGUAGACGGUCAUGUAAGUCGGGUGUGAAAGCCCCGGGCUCAACCUGGGAAUGGCCAUGGAAACUGGCGAACUGGAGUGUGGCAGAGGGGGGUGGAAUUCCGCGUGUAGCAGUGAAAUGCGUAGAGAUGCGGAGGAACACCGAUGGCGAAGGCAGCCCCCUGGGCUAGCACUGACGCUCAGGCACGAAAGCGUGGGGAGCAAACAGG
rnacentral:rRNA from 1 species